GGGCGAUUAGCUCAGCUGGUAGAGCGUCCGCUUGACGUGCGGGAUGUCAGCGGUUCAAGUCCGUUAUCGCCCACCA
rnacentral:tRNA from 1 species